UGAUGAUCGUUCCUCCUGCUGCUCGGAGCUCAGGCAGCUCAGGAUUUUGCAUCAUCACAGAGAAAGCGAGUCCACUUCACCCAGCGUGUGCCGACCCAGCGGUCUCUCGUGGCCACGCUGGACAUUGCAGGACUCUACAGCU